GAUGAACGCUGGCGGCGUGCCUAAUACAUGCAAGUCGAGCGAACAGACGAGGAGCUUGCUCCUCUGACGUUAGCGGCGGACGGGUGAGUAACACGUGGAUAACCUACCUAUAAGACUGGGAUAACUUCGGGAAACCGGAGCUAAUACCGGAUAAUAUAUUGAACCGCAUGGUUCAAUAGUGAAAGACGGUUUUGCUGUCACUUAUAGAUGGAUCCGCGCCGCAUUAGCUAGUUGGUAAGGUAACGGCUUACCAAGGCGACGAUGCGUAGCCGACCUGAGAGGGUGAUCGGCCACACUGGAACUGAGACACGGUCCAGACUACUACGGGAGGCAGCAGUAGGGAAUCUUCCGCAAUGGGCGAAAGCCUGACGGAGCAACGCCGCGUGAGUGAUGGAGGUCUUGGGAUCGUAAAACUCUGUUAUUAGGGAAGAACAAAUGUGUAAGUAACUAUGCACGUCUUGACGGUACCUAAUCAGAAAGCCACGGCUAACUACGUG
rnacentral:rRNA from 1 species